UACGAAGGGGGCUAGCGUUGCUCGGAUUGACUGGGCGUAAAGGGCGCGUAGGCGGUUUGCAUAGUCAGACGUGAAAUUCCUGGGCUUAACCUGGGGGCUGCGUUUGAUACAUGCAGGCUUGAGUUCGGAAGAGGGUCGUGGAAUUCCCAGUGUAGAGGUGAAAUUCGUAGAUAUUGGGAAGAACACCGGUGGCGAAGGCGGCGACCUGGUCCGAUACUGGCGCUGAGGCGCGAAAGCGUGGGGAGCAAACAGG
rnacentral:rRNA from 1 species